GCGCCCUUAGCUCAGCCUGGUAGAGCAUCUGACUCUUAAUCAGUGGGUCGAAGGUUCGAAUCCUUCAGGGCGCA
rnacentral:tRNA from 1 species